UACGAAGGGGGCAAGCGUUGUCCGGAUUUAUUGGGCGUAAAGAGCUCGUAGGCGGCUCGGUAAGUCAGGUGUGAAACCUCCAGGCUCAACCUGGAGACGCCACCUGAUACUGCUGUGGCUAGAGUCCGGUAGGGGAGCGUGGAAUUCCUGGUGUAGCGGUGAAAUGCGCAGAUAUCAGGAGGAACACCAGGCGGCGAAGGCG
rnacentral:rRNA from 1 species